UGGUAGAAUCCCCAGUGCAGCCCUGGAUGAGCCUGCAGUAUUUUCCUUAUAUGAUCAGUCCUCACUGCUGGCAAUGCCAGACUGGCCUGAGAGGAUUAUGGAAACAUGUGCGGCGAGCAGGGCUGGGGAUUAA
ensembl:snoRNA